UACGUAGGGGGCAAGCGUUGUCCGGAUUCAUUGGGCGUAAAGAGCGUGUAGGCGGUCUGUCGCGUCGGUCGUGAAAACCUGCAGCUUAACUGUGGGCUUGCGGUCGAUACGGGCAUGACUGGAGUUCGGCAGGGGAGACUGGAAUUCCUGGUGUAGCGGUGAAAUGCGCAGAUAUCAGGAGGAACACCGGUGGCGAAGGCGGGUCUCUGGGCCGAUACUGACGCUGAGGAGCGAAAGCGUGGGGAGCGAACAGG
rnacentral:rRNA from 1 species